rnacentral:sRNA from 1 species
GAGAUGGCGGCGACCGACGGGGCUUUGCCGGAGGCGGCGGCUUUAGAGCAACCCGCGGAGCUGCCUGCCACGGCAUGGCUAAUGUAAAAGCAGCCCCAAAGAUAAUUGACACAGGAGGAGGCUUCAUUUUAGAAGAGGAAGAAGAAGAAGAACAAAAAAUUGGAAAAGUUGUUCAUGAACCAGAGAUGCUGAUGAUAAACACAAGCUUAUAACCAAAACAGAGGCAAAACAAGAAUAUCUUCUGAAAGACUGUGAUUUAGAAAAAAGAGAGCCACCUCUUAAAUUUAUUGUGAAGAAGAAUCCACAUCAUUCACAAUGGGGUGAUAUGAAACUCUACUUAAAGUUACAGAUUGUGAAGAGGUCUCUUGAAGUUUGGGGUAGUCAAGAAGCAUUAGAAGAAGCAAAGGAAGUCCGACAGGAAAACCGAGA